rnacentral:rRNA from 2 species
AGAAAUUGCCUGAAGAUGAGCUCGCGUCUGAUUAGCUAGUUGGUGAGGUAAAAGCUUACCAAGGCAACGAUCAGUAGCUGGUCUGAGAGGAUGAGCAGCCACACUGGGACUGAGACACGGCCCAGACUCCUACGGGAGGCAGCAGUGGGGAAUUUUCCGCAAUGGGCGAAAGCCUGACGGAGCAAGACCGCGUGGGGGAGGAAGGCUCUAGGGUUGUAAACCCCUUUUCUUUGGGAAGAACAAAAUGACGGUACCAAAGGAAUCAGCCUCGGCUAACUCCGUGCCAGCAGCCGCGGUAAUACGGAGGAGGCAAGCGUUAUCCGGAAUGAUUGGGCGUAAAGCGUCCGCAGGUGGCCAUGUAAGUCUGCUGUCAAAACCCAGGGCUCAACUCUGGUCAGGCAGUGGAAACUACAAAGCUAGAGUCUGGUAGGGGCAAAGGGAAUUCCCGGCGUAGCGGUGAAAUGCGUAGAUUUCGGGAAGAACAUCGGUGGCGAAAGCGCUUUGCUAGACCAGAACUGACACUCAGGGACGAAAGCUAGGGGAGCGAAUGGGAUUAGAU